rnacentral:rRNA from 1 species
GUACGUAGGGCGCAAGCGUUGUCCGGAAUUAUUGGGCGUAAAGAGCUCGUAGGCGGUUUGUCGCGCCUGCUGUGAAAACCUAAGGCUCAACCUUGGGCUUGCAGUGGGUACGGGCAGACUAGAGUGCGGUAGGGGUGACUGGAAUUCCUGGUGUAGCGGUGGAAUGCGCAGAUAUCAGGAGGAACACCGAUGGCGAAGGCAGGUCGCUGGGACGGUAUUGACGCUGAGGCGCGAAAGCGUGGGGAGCAAACAGG